rnacentral:rRNA from 1 species
GAUGAACGCUGGCGGCGUGCCUAAUACAUGCAAGUCGAGCGAACGGACGAGAAGCUUGCUUCUCUGAUGUUAGCGGCGGACGGGUGAGUAACACGUGGAUAACCUACCUAUAAGACUGGGAUAACUUCGGGAAACCGGAGCUAAUACCGGAUAAUAUUUUGAACCGCAUGGUUCAAAAGUGAAAGACGGUCUUGCUGUCACUUAUAGAUGGAUCCGCGCUGCAUUAGCUAGUUGGUAAGGUAACGGCUUACCAAGUCAACGAUGCAUAGCCGACCUGAGAGGGUGAUCGGCCACAAGGGAACUGAGACACGGUCCAGACUCCUACGGGAGGCAGCAGUAGGGAAUCUUCCGCAAUGGGCGAAAGCCUGACGGAGCAACGCCGCGUGAGUGAUGAAGGUCUUCGGAUCGUAAAACUCUGUUAUUAGGGAAGAACAUAUGUGUAAGUAACUGUGCACAUCUUGACGGUACCUAAUCAGAAAGCCACGGCUAACUACGUG